UACGGAGGGUGCAAGCGUUAUCCGGAUUCACUGGGUUUUAAAAGGGUGCGUAGGCGGGCAGGUAAGUCAGUGGUGAAAUCUCCGAGCUUAACUUGGAAACUGCCAUUGAUACUAUCUGUCUUUGAAUAUUGUGGAGGUGAGCGGAAUAUGUCAUGUAGCGGUGAAAAUGCUUAGAUAUACAUAGAACACCCAAAUUUGCGAAAGGCAGCUCGCUACACAAAAUAUUUGACGCUGAGGCACGAAAAGCGUUGGGGGAUCAAAACAGG
rnacentral:rRNA from 1 species